CUCUUGAUGACGAGUGGCGCACGGGUGCGUAACGCGUAUGCAACCUACCCUUUACAGGGGGAUAGCCCGGAGAAAUUCGGAUUAAUACCCCAUGGUACCUUAAAGUAGCAUUGCUUAAAGGUUAAAGAUUUAUUGGUAAAGGAUGGGCAUGCGUGACAUUAGCUAGUUGGUGAGGUAACGGCUCACCAAGGCAACGAUGUCUAGGGGUUCUGAGAGGAAGAUCCCCCACACUGGUACUGAGACACGGACCAGACUCCUACGGGAGGCAGCAGUAGGGAAUAUUGGUCAAUGGACGAGAGUCUGAACCAGCCAUGCCGCGUGCAGGAAGACGGCCUUCUGGGUUGUAAACUGCUUUUAUAUAGGAACAAAGAGGCCAUGCGUGGCAAGUUGAGUGUACUAUAUGAAUAAGCACCGGCUAACUCCGUGCCAGCAGCCGCGGUAAUACGGAGGGUGCAAGCGUUGUCCGGAUUUAUUGGGUUUAAAGGGUGCGUAGGUGGCGUGUUAAGUCAGUGGUGAAAGCCUGCAGCUCAACUGUAGAGGUGCCAUUGAUACUGACAUGCUUGAGUAUGGACGAGGUAGGCGGAAUUUGUGGUGUAGCGGUGAAAUGCAUAGAUACCACAAGGAACACCGAUAGCGAAGGCAGCUUACUGGACCAUAACUGACACUGAGGCACGAAAGCGUGGGGAGCGAACAGGAUUAGAUACCCUGGUAGUCCACGCCGUAAACGAUGCUCACUCGAUGUAUGCGAUAUACUGUAUGCGUCCAAGCGAAAGCGUUAAGUGAGCCACCUGGGGAGUA
rnacentral:rRNA from 1 species